CCAGGGCAGUGCAGAGUGGGAGGUUUUGCAGAAGAAUCAAAUCCUGAGUGAACAGAUAUUGUGGCCUGUGAAACCAAAGAGAGAUGCUGAACGUUUCAAGUAUGUUCUUUACUGACUGUCAAAGCAAAGUAUACACAAAAAC
rnacentral:lncRNA from 13 species